rnacentral:misc_RNA from 1 species
GAAAUGCGAUACGUAGUGUGAAUUGCAGAAUUCCGUGAACCAUCGAAUCUUUGAACGCAUAUUGCGCUCGAGCCCUCGGGCAAGAGCAUGUCUGCCUCAGCGUCGGUUUACACCCUCACCCCUCCCACUUUUGUUGGGUGUGUUGGCUUCUAUGCCAGCCAUAGGGGUGGAUCUGGCUUCCCCAAUUCGCUGUAGUGGAUUGGGUUGGCUGAAGUAUAGAGGCUUAAGCAAGGACCCGAUAUGGGCUUCAACUGGAUAGGUAGCACCGGCUUUCGCCGACUACACGAAGUUGUGGCUUGUGGAUCUUGCUAGAGGCCAAGCAGGAACGUGCCUUUGGCAUGUCUAAACUUUCGACCUGAGCUCAGGCAAGGCUACCCGCUGAACUUAAGC